AUUGAACGCUGGCGGCAGGCCUAACACAUGCAAGUCGAACGGAAGAACGGUGCUUGCUCGGGGUUUCAGCGGCGGACGGGUGUGUGAUGCCUAGGAAUCUCCCGCGUUGUGGUUUAGAAUGUCCUGAAGCGGGCGGGAAUACCGCAGGCGUCCUGAGGGAGAAAGUGGGGGAUCUUCGGACCUUACGCUCUGAUGUGAGUCGAGGCCGGAUUAGCUAGUUGGUUGGGUGAAGGCCUACCAAGGCGACGAUCCGUAACUGGUCGGAGUGGAUGAUCAGCCACACUGGAACUGAGACACGGUCAAGAGUCCUACGGGAGGCAGCAGUGGGGAAUAUUGGACAAUGGGCGAAAGCAUGAUACAGCCAUCGCGAGUGUGUGACGAAGGUGUUCGGAUUGUAAAGCCGUUUAUGUUGGGAGGAACCGCAGUAGGUUAAUACCAUGCUGUUUUGACGUUACCAACAGAAUAAGCACCGGCUAACUUCGUG
rnacentral:rRNA from 1 species